rnacentral:rRNA from 1 species
CCUACGGGCGACAGCAGUGAGGAAUAUUGGUCAAUGGGCGCGAGCCUGAACCAGCCAAGUCGCGUGAGGGAGGACGGCCCUACGGGUUGUAAACCUCUUUUGCCGGGGAGCAACGGGCGCCACGUGUGGCGCCACUGAGAGUACCCGGAGAAAAAGCAUCGGCUAACUCCGUGCCAGCAGCCGCGGUAAUACGGAGGAUGCGAGCGUUAUCCGGAUUUAUUGGGUUUAAGGGGUGCGUAGGCGGAUCGUUAAGUCAGUGGUCAAAUUGAGGGGCUCAACCCCUUCCCGCCAUUGAAACUGGCGAUCUUGAGUGGACGAGAAGUAUGCGGAAUGCGUGGUGUAGCGGUGAAAUGCAUAGAUAUCACGCAGAACCCCGAUUGCGAAGGCAGCAUGCCGGCUUCCGACUGACGCUGAAGCACGAAAGCGUGGGGAUCGAACAGGAUUAGAUACCCUUGUAGUC